rnacentral:tRNA from 2 species
GCCACUUUGGCGCAGUGGUAACGCGUAGCACUUGUAUCGCCAGUACAUGCUAAGAUCACAGGUUCGAUUCCUGUAAGUGGCA